rnacentral:rRNA from 1 species
AUUGAACGCUUUCUUCCUGCCUAACACAUGCAAGUCGAGCGGAUGAAGGGAGCUUGCUCCUGGAUUCAGCGGCGGACGGGUGAGUAAUGCCUAGGAAUCUGCCUGGUAGUGGGGGAUAACGUCCGGAAACGGGCGCUAAUACCGCAUACGUCCUGAGGGAGAAAGUGGGGGAUCUUCGGACCUCACGCUAUCAGAUGAGCCUAGGUCGGAUUAGCUAGUUGGUGGGGUAAAGGCCUACCAAGGCGACGAUCCGUAACUGGUCUGAGAGGAUGAUCAGUCACACUGGAACUGAGACACGGUCCAGACUCCUACGGGAGGCAGCAGUGGGGAAUAUUGGACAAUGGGCGAAAGCCUGAUCCAGCCAUGCCGCGUGUGUGAAGAAGGUCUUCGGAUUGUAAAGCACUUUAAGUUGGGAGGAAGGGCAGUAAGUUAAUACCUUGCUGUUUUGACGUUACCAACAGAAUAAGCACCGGCUAACUUCGUG